rnacentral:piRNA from 1 species
UACCAGGGGCCUGGUACAGUAAGGACCGUA